rnacentral:rRNA from 1 species
UACGUAGGGUGCGAGCGUUGCCCGGAUUUAUUGGGCGUAAAGGGCGCGUAGGCGGCCACGCACGUCCGUUGUGAAAUCGCCCGGCUCAACUGGCGGGGUCGGCGGAUACGGCGUGGCUGGAGCAAGCUAGGGGGCAAUGGAAUUCCCGGUGUAGUGGUGGAAUGCGUAGAUAUCGGGAGGAACACCGGUGGCGAAGGCGGUUCUCUGGGCCUUACCUGACGCUGAGGAGCGAAAGCGUGGGGAGCAAACAGG